AAUACCAGAGUUAAAGAAACAACGAAGCUAAGAAAAGAACGAAUAAAUACGUAUCUAGUUUAUUUCAACCACUGCUUUUAAAACCUAACUAACUCCAGUUAUCGUUGUAGCUUACACACAUUUCAAUCAAUCUCCAACAUCGAAACAAAAUCUAUUUUGCAGUUUCCAGUCAGCUGUCACAAAACCGAAAGGGGUACAUUAUUGUCCAUUUACAAACCCUAUACGCGGUUAAUGUCAAUUCGUGUACAGCCUGCAAUCUGUCUCAACGAGAAUCAAUAUGAUUGGUGCUGGCUGUGCAAGUAUUGCUGGAACAAUACUAGGAUUUUACCAUGGUAUUGGAGUAGCGCAAGGCGCCAUGAAAUCCCACUGAGGAAUUAAAGCCCUUUGUGUUGCCAUGGUGCUGGUGGAGUGACAGGACAAGAAGCAGAAGGAGGGAUUUAGGAAGAAGGGGGAGGGACUUAAAGGCACACACUGCGUUACGAUUGGCUGUAGUCAUGUCACAUGUGACCUUUGGAAUGCAAAUGCCUAACCCCCCCACUUUCUCUCUCUAUCUGCUGUCUCUCUCUCUCUCUCUGGUCUGUGGUAAGCUUACGGCACAAACACAACCCAGAAAUGGUGUAGGAUAGCCGGAAAGCCGGACGAAAUCCAAUCCUAGGAAGGAAAGGCGAAGCCACAG